CCUACGGGUGGCUGCAGUGGGGAAUAUUGGACAAUGGGGGGAACCCUGAUCCAGCCAUGCCGCGUGUGUGAAGAAGGCCCUCGGGUUGUAAAGCACUUUCAGUGAGGAAGAACGCCUGGUGGUUAAUACCCAUCAGGAAAGACAUCACUCACAGAAGAAGCACCGGCUAACUCCGUGCCAGCAGCCGCGGUAAUACGGAGGGUGCGAGCGUUAAUCGGAAUUACUGGGCGUAAAGCGCGCGUAGGUGGUUUGAUAAGCCGGUUGUGAAAGCCCCGGGCUCAACCUGGGAACGGCAUCCGGAACUGUCAAGCUAGAGUGCAGGAGAGGAAGGUAGAAUUCCCGGUGUAGCGGUGAAAUGCGUAGAGAUCGGGAGGAAUACCAGUGGCGAAGGCGGCCUUCUGGACUGACACUGACACUGAGGUGCGAAAGCGUGGGUAGCAAACAGGAUUAGAUACCCUAGUAGUC
rnacentral:rRNA from 1 species